GGCCAGACUCCUACGGGAGGCAGCAGUGGGGGAUAUUGGACAAUGGGGGGAACCCUGAUCCAGCGACGCCGCGUGAGUGAAGAAGUAUCUCGGUAUGUAAAGCUCUAUCAGCAGGGAAGAAGAAAUGACGGUACCUGAGUAAGAAGCCCCGGCUAACUACGUGCCAGCAGCCGCGGUAAUACGUAGGGGGCAAGCGUUAUCCGGAUUUACUGGGUGUAAAGGGGGCGCAGACGGCAAUGCAAGCCAGGAGUGAAAGCCCGGGGCCCAACCCCGGGACUGCUCUUGGAACUGCAUGGCUGGAGUACAGGAGGGGCAGGCGGAAUUCCUAGUGUAGCGGUGAAAUGCGUAGAUAUUAGGAGGAACACCGGUGGCGAAGGCGGCCUGCUGGACUGUGACUGACGUUGAGGCCCGAAGGCGUGGGGAGCAAACAGGAUUAGAUACCCUGGUAGA
rnacentral:rRNA from 1 species